GGUCAUAUUUGAUUUGGGCCAAUUUUGGGAGAUUGGUGCCGAGCUGGGCCGAGGGAAGUUGGCGGGCAGAUUGAAUUGCGGAACCCUAUGUAGCGUAAUGUACUUGGGAGUCUCCUGAGUCAUUUUACGGGGAAUUGAAAUCUUGGUGGUGGGUGUUGAGCUGAAUCAUGGCUCGGAAAUUCGGCGGUGGGUUGCGCCCGACUGGAACUCCUUCAGUGGGUUGGUCCUUUGUCGUCGUCGUCUCUUCGCUUCUCGCCGGCGCCUCCAUCGUCCACAACAUCUACAAACCAAAUCUUACCUUGCCUCCAGUGGAUGGCGUCCAAGCGACCAGCAAGAAAGACCAUGUUUAAAAUCAAUUACUUUAUAACUUCAUUUCUUUUCAGUUUUCAGCAGUUUUCAGUUACAUGUUUCUGUUACAUGUUUUUGAUGUGAAAGUUCUCUACUGUUCGGAAUGGAACAAUAGAGUGUUUGUUAUAACUAGGGUGCAUUCUCCCUUUUGUUAGUGUGAUUCUUUAUAAUUCUCAGCUGCUUUACCUUGUUCAAGAAAAGAGCGGAGCGACUUCACCUUUUGCAUCGUUCAAUUAAAAAGAGAUAGUGAAACCCAUAUUUACAAGGUUGA